rnacentral:tRNA from 1 species
CUCUGGUUAGCUCAGUUGUGCUGAGCGCUCCACUUGUAAUGGGGAGGUCCCGGGUUGGAUACCCGGACCAGGCA